rnacentral:piRNA from 1 species
GGAACAGUCAUGAGUGCAUGGGUAGA